GAACCUCCCCUCCCCCGCCGGGGCCUGGGCGCGCCUGCCCUUCGCUCCCCGACCUCCUGCUGCAGCUCUGGGCCCCUCGGCCGCUCCCUCCCCUCCUCCCUUGCUCACCCCACGGUUGGCCGCGGAUCUCCAGCACGCCGCCCCAGUCCUCGGCGUCCCGCAGCGCCUGCCAGGGUCGCCGAGCCUCCCCUGCCUCCUGGCCGCCUCUGCAGUGCCGUCCUCCCGGGGCUGGCUCUCUCCCCAGGCCCCCGCUUUGGCCACCCAGGCACUUUCCGCCCUGAGCGUGGCAGCUGCUGCCGGGGGUCCUGGGACCGCGGGAUGGGAACUCCCACGCAGCGUCCCACAGGCUCCUGGCCGCCGCGAGCCCGCGCGACUCGCACGAGCAUGUCCACCCGCAGCGAGGGGCCGGUCACUGCUACGGAGCCCGCCAGAAGGCAAAGCCCCAGACAGCAAAUAGGGAGGCGGCUGGCACCCAGGGAGGCCGAGGCGGGAGGAUCGCUGGAGCCCAGGAGUUCGAGACCUGCCUUGGCAACAUAGUCCCUCCAGCGUGCCAAAUGCUGCUAAUGGACAGCCGCUCCUGCCGCUCUGAUGUUGCUAGACCUCCUCAGCACUCAGCCCAAGGCAGCCAGGAAGAAUGAACGAAUGGUGAUUCAGAGGGAAAGGAGGAAGCUGCGUGGCAUUUCAGAGAUACUUAUUUUAAAACUGCUGGUGGCCAUGUCUUCUUUUCAUAUCAGAGCUAAUGAGUUUUGAUAUGUGAACAUUUCUUCUCCUUCAUAGGUAAUGUGUUGAUUUGGCACUUUAAUCUUAGAAUAAUCAUUUCUAAAACCAACCCAACUGCUUUUCUUUACAAUUUUGGCCUUAGCAAACAGAUGAGUCCGUUGACUUGAGCAUUGCUUGGGCACUGUCUGUGUGCAGGUCAGGCAGGGGAUGCUGGUGGCUGGGAAACAUAGAGGAUGGAGGUGUCUUGGGUGUACAUGAAGGGGUGGGGUCAAGUCCACAGGGGGUCGGCCCCUGGCAGCAGUCCUGGAGGGCUUCGUGGAGGAAGGGAGAAUUGAGUGAGAAAGUGGUCCCCAGGUAAGAGGGAAGAGCAUCCAGGGAGAGGAGACUGCUUCUGGGAAGACCAGAGGCAUCACCUCGCAGGGGCUGGUAUGGUGGUGGCUCAGGUGGGAGGAAGAGAGACCUCAGGGAAAAUAACAGGUUCCAUUGACAGGAGGCCUGCUCUGGUGGGGAGGCAGGCUGGUGGUGGAGUCAUGGCUGCAGGCCAGGGAGAUGCCUGACCAACAGGUGUGUUGGCCAGGGUCCCUGUAGCAAAAACACGGAGCUGAGGACCUCAUGGCAGGGACCCCAUGCAGAGGGAGCCGCGGGUGGCAUGGGGAUAGUCACCUGGCUCUCCUGCUCUCGGCCUCCUGCAGCUCCCCUCACUCCCUGCCCUGCCACACAAGGUCAAACCCACCAGGAGGCAGAAGGCGAAGGGCGAGGUCCCAGGGUGAGGAGCAGGGAGGAGAUGGUGGCAGCAGGGAAGGUGAUGCCUGCUGCAGAGUGAGACCUGGGACUGCCAAACACACAGUGACGGGAGCUGAGGAGGCCUGCCGGGGGAGGAAGACAGUGGCUGGCAGUGACAGGAAGGGAGGGUCAGCAUGGGGCGGCAGUCCCAGAGCUCAGGGCUCCCUGCCAGGCCAGCCUUUGUGGCCUGUGGGGUGGAGGUGGCAAUUGCUGUCAUGUCAUAAACACGUCAAGCUUACAAUGAAAUCUCCAGUGUGGCUUGGGAGCAAAUACAUGUGCAGGUGUUUGAGUAUCUGUGCUCUUACCUAACCUCAGGGAGCAGGAAAACGAAAGCUUAUCAUGUAAACACAUCAGCAGCAGGGCUUAUGUGUGUCUCCACACUGGAACCCCCAAGACAAGAGACUGGAGGCAGAGUUGAUUUCCAAGCCCAGAGUGCUGGGCAGCCUUUGGGUUUUAUGUCUGCUUGCUUGGAGCUCAGUGAUAGAAAUCUAGGCCCCAGAAGAGGAAAGGACUGUCCUGCAUAACCAGCACACCCGGGGAAUGCUUCAGGUGCAGCUGGAUCCAGGCAUCCUCAAAUAGUGUGAUUAGGACUCCACUUUCCUUUGUCACCUUGGCUUGGCUCUUCCCUGCUCUGUGUUGUUUUCAGACGAGGUGGGGCCCCAGCAGCUCUGGUCCUCCUGACAUCCUAGAGAAGAGCCAGCCCUUCCCUCCUGGGGUCUACACCGUCCCCUAAGGGACCUCAGACUGGGCUGAUGGAAGGUCUCAAGCAGGCCAUGUGAAGGGCACUGCACAGGAAACACAGAAACGGGAAUCCUAUAAGGUCAGCAGAGCUCUGAGCCCUUUGUUCUUGGGCCUGUUUUUAUGAUCCUCCCUCUACAUGUAGCUCACACUUCCCUGCUUCUGUGCAGGCACCAGGUGAGGGGGUUGUCAUGGCCUCCUGCCACUCUUGAGGCUGUCAGAUAUUACCUGUGCUGUCCCUGCAUUCUCAAGCUCCAAAUUGUCAACUAAGAAAUGGUCACUUAAAACUCUGCUUCACAAACACAGGAUAUUGGAAAUGGAAGUGGGCUUUUCAGUGCUUUGGGAACAAUCACAGGAGAUUCUGCCUUGGCUGUAAUCCAGAACGUAUGGAGAUUUGAAGUUGUCGCAAACAUACUUUGAAGGCCACCAGAUGCAGCUGUACAAUUGAAGUCCAUCAGCUCACUUGCCUCAAUAAAGCCUGCCACUGCAUGCAGCUUGUCACUUGCCACUCACAGAUAGGGUUUUGAUAUGACUCUGCAAGCAAUUGAUUUAUGAUGGUCUCUGUGCUGUCAAACCUCUCUGCUAAUGUUCAUCUGUAUUUGCAGCCACUCCCAAGUGCUAGCAUCGCCGCCUCAGCUCCACUUCAGGUCAUCAGGCAUUAGUUAGAUUCUCAUAAGGAGUGUGCAACCCAGAUUCCUCACAUGCGCAGUUCACAAUAGAGUGCGCUGCUAUGAGAACUAAUGCCACUGCUGAUCUGACAGGAGGCAGAGCUCAGGCGGUCAUGCUCACCCACCCACCUGCUGCUCCCCUCCUGCUGUGCGGCCCAGUUACUAACAGUCCAUGGACAGGUACUGGUCCGUGGCCCAGGGACUGGGGGCCCCUUCUGUCACCCAACCAAACUGGGUCCACUUGCCCUCAAGGAACGGAAGCCAAACACCGAAGCACCAAGUUUUUGCAAUAGGAAGGCUUUAUUGCCAGUUGAGUGACAUGGAGACCGGAGGAAAUGUUCCUAUCUGUCUUCCCACUGGCCUUGCCACCAUAGAUGUAAGAGACAGAUUUUGAGGGUGGGGUUUCGGGGCGGGACGAAGAUUGGCUGGAAGGAAGGGGCUUUGUUGAGUCCCUCGGUCACUCACUGUCGCCCUACCUGCUGCUUCAUGGGUUGCAUGUUUAAAAACAAUGUUGGCAUUAGCAUGACCUGGAAGUGGGGUUUUGGGCCCUCUGACAUCAAAAGGUGGCUCGUGGGUGAGUCAGUGCACUCUGCAGACUCUAGUCAGCCAUGUUGGCUCCAACUGGUCCCUCCUGGCAGCCCACUUAGUUGCAAAUAGAGGGGAUUGUAGCAAAUUGUCGUCUUCUCCACUGUCCUGCAAAAUGAGCUCAAGAAAUUUUGCUGGUUAACAAAUCCUGUCUAAUCCUAGGGCAGGUUUCAGUACCAUCCUGUUAGGGAUUGGGGCUUCAACAUAUGAAUUUGGGGGGUACACUUCAGCCCAUGGCAAGCUGGAUACUUGUGCUCCCUUCAUCAAGAUGAGAAUGUGAACACACAGAGGCAAAGCGGCCCAUACGAGGUCACAGUGAGAGAGGGUGCCGUGGAGUCAGAACGCACAGCAGGGACCCAGCCCCUAGGUUCCGUCUCUGAGCCCCAGGUCCCAUGCUGAGCUGCAGGAGUCACUGUGUGCCUCUGCUUUGUGCUUUGUGACCACACGUCAUGGCCAGGCUGGGGUUUUCCACCCUUUGUGCGUUAUUCCCAUCUUAGUUUGAGGUCAGAGGCCUGCAGGACUUAUUUCCUGGUCCCCACGGGAUGAAGGAGGAAACCCGUGGGAACUAGCACAUGGCCCUAAAAGCAACCUCUCCUUGCCCUCAUUGUCCAUUAGCACAAGACACUCCCAUCAGCACCAUGACAGUUUACAAAUGCUGUGGAAGUUGCUGCCUUUUCCUUAGAGAUUUCCAAAUAACCUGCCCCUAAUGUGCAUGUCAUUAGAAGUCAGUAUAAGUGGCUGUGAGUGCAGCUGCCUCAGCCCAUAUGCUGCUGACUCCGGGUGCACUGCUGAGGAGUCAGCCCUGGCCCAGUUCAGGAAAAGUGGCUGCAUAAUGCCACCAGCUGGCCCUUGCAUUCUUUCCUGGGUGAAGCCAAGAACCCUCAGGGGCUAAGCCCCACUGUGAGAGCUCACCUGCCACCUGCAUCCAGUGAAUAGGGCGCCAUUUCCAGGUUUCCCCCCAGUGCUGCAGCAAACAUCCCUGUAGGCCGCAACUCACACGCUUG
rnacentral:lncRNA from 10 species